rnacentral:rRNA from 1 species
GACUAACGCUGGCGGCGUGCCUAAUACAUGCAAGUAUAACGCAGUUGCGAACGGGUUAGUAACGCGUAGGUAACUGCCUAAUAGCGGGGGAUCACUAUUGGCAACGAUAGCUAAUACCGCAUACUUCGAGAUGGACCUGCGUUGUAGUAGCCAGUUGGUGAGGUAAAGGCUCACAAAGGCGACGAUAAAUAGCCGACCUGCGAGGAUGUUAGGCCACACUGGGCCUGAGACCCGGCCCAGACUCCUCCGGAAGGCAGCAGUAGGAAGUCGUCGGCAAUGGACGGAAGUCUGACCGAGCAACGCCGCGUGAGUGAGGAGGGUUUUCGGAUCGUAAAGCUCUGUUGUUAGAGAGGCGGUAACUAGCCAGAAAGGGACGGCUAACUACGUGCCAGCAGCCGCGGUAAUAC